rnacentral:rRNA from 1 species
GACGGUACCUGGAUAAGAAGCCCCGGCUAACUUCGUGCCAGCAGCCGCGGUAAUACGAAGGGGGCUAGCGUUGUUCGGAAUCACUGGGCGUAAAGCGCACGUAGGCGGAUCUUUAAGUCAGGGGUGAAAUCCCGAGGCUCAACCUCGGAACUGCCUUUGAUACUGGAGGUCUCGAGUCCGGGAGAGGUGAGUGGAACUGCGAGUGUAGAGGUGAAAUUCGUAGAUAUUCGCAAGAACACCAGUGGCGAAGGCGGCUCACUGGCCCGGUACUGACGCUGAGGUGCGAAAGCGUGGGGAGCAAACAGGAUUAG